rnacentral:rRNA from 1 species
AUUGAACGCUGGCGGCAGGCCUAACACAUGCAAGUCGAGCGGUUGACGGGAGCUUGCUCCCUGAUUCAGCGGCGGACGGGUGAGUAAUGCCUAGGAAUCUGCCUAUUAGUGGGGGACAACGUUUCGAAAGGAACGCUAAUACCGCAUACGUCCUACGGGAGAAAGCAGGGGACCUUCGGGCCUUGCGCUAAUAGAUGAGCCUAGGUCGGAUUAGCUAGUUGGUGGGGUAAUGGCUCACCAAGGCGACGAUCCGUAACUGGUCUGAGAGGAUGAUCAGUCACACUGGAACUGAGACACGGUCCAGACACCUACGGGAGGCUG